GAUGUGGCAGAGCACAUAAAGAAGACGUUCGACAAAAAAUACUGCCCAAUUUGGCAUUGCAUUGUUGGCAAGAAUUUCGGUUCCUAUGUAACUCAUGAGACGCAUCACUUUGUCUACUUCUAUUGGACACUAAAGCUGUACUCCUCUUCAAAUCUGGCUGAUCCAUGCAAUGACUUGAAUUGAGAUGGACAUUGACGGUUGAUGAAAAAGUUAAGAUGAUUAUUUUGGGCUGAUCUGGCUGCGGCGGUUCGGGAGGACGACGGCGGUGGCUGCAGUUUUGCAUCGCUAUCCGAACAGCAGCGGCGCUUGCCGUGAACAACCGAGGCUGGAGAAGCCGAGCAACGGCAGCUCGGGAGAUGAACAGCAGCAGGACAGCGGCUGCUCGGCUGAACGGCGGUGACAACAGCAGAGAAUGGCGGAGCAGCAACGUCCGUGUUGCAGCGGCGGCUGACCCGGCAGCGACGACGCUGACAGAUCUUGGACAGCAGCGGCGCUGUGGAAGAGAUGAGGGAAAGAUAGGGGAGCGACGACAACGGCAGCGCAACGGAGAGAAGCUAGAGCGAAAGGCGACGGAGGCGGCAAGCUCACCGCCGUGAUUUCGGUGGUGACGGCGUGGUGACGUCGCCGGAAAAGAGAGAGUAAUGCAAGGUAGUCGCAAUUUGGGGAAUCCUCCUGAUUUUGAAUUGGGAGAGAUGAGAGGUUGAGAGAGAUAAUAAGAGAAAGAGAAUGAGAGAGAGAGUUAGAGUGUUUGGAGAAGAAGAAGAUGACUGUGAAAUUGGGGAAGGAAGAGAGAGAGGAGAUGAUGGAGACGGAGGCGCGGUGGAUUCGGCACAAGAACUGGGGCGACGCGAAGGAGAUAGAAACGGCAAGGCGCGACGUUUUGGAUCAGCGGCUAAGACGAGCAGCGACGGUGCUGUGAUGGAGAUGGUGAGGAGAAAGGCCAGGGCAGCGACGUGAAACACCUAGAGGACAGCGAAGUGACGAACUCGCUGCUGUGAUUACCACAGUUCUGAAAUCAGUGAAGAGAGAUUAUGAAUUUCACUCCCUUUUUGGGAUUUCACGAGGUGGAUUGGAAUUAAUUUGGUUUGGGCCAAAUUAAUUGAAUGGAAGAUUUGGGCCGGAGUCCAUUAAAUCAACGGGUGACUUUACGCACGCUUUUCAAGAUUGUGAUGGAACACAAGUUAAGGCUUUAAACGAACGAGGUUGAGCGGUAACAAGCGCGGUGGCUGUUGAGCAUG